rnacentral:lncRNA from 1 species
CAAGUAAUCAAGCAAUCAAAGGUAAAAUUUCUUGAUUUUGACUUGUGUUCUACUUUUCCCAUACAUUCUUUUGCAUUUUUCAUGGUUGAAUCACAUGAUUUCAUGAUGGGUAUCUUGCUGGCCGAACACUUAGAGAGAGAUUUUGAUGGUUGUUUUGGUUAGAUUUUAAGAUAUUCUAGUGUUUUAGUUGAUUGGUGAUGUGUAGCAUGAAAAUCAAGCAAGAAAAAUUCAUGUUCUUCCAUAACCCAUCAUUGGCCAAAUUCUACAUGUGGAAUAUUGAUGAUGAUUUUGAUUUUAUUUCAAGUGAAUUGGUUAGGAAAUGAUGAAUUACGGUGAGAAAAUCAAGUAGGAAAAAUCAUAGUAUUGAUGCACCAACCAUGGCCGAAUUUCCCAAGAGAAAAUGUGAAUAUGAUUUUGCUAAAUUUUAUGCUAUUUGACUUGUGUUUGAUGGUUUGGAGAAUUGGAAGAAAAAUGGAGUUAUUUGGAGUUGAAUUGGACAUAUUGGCCAAUUAAUCGGGUGAUAGAUAGAAUUAGGCCAAUACCAUUUUAUUUAGGUACACAAUUGAACUUAUAUUGAACACCGUAUUUAGAUGGUUACCCGACCGUUUCACAUCCCAUUUCAUGCAUUAGUAAAGAGCCUGAAAUAGAUUUAUAAUGGUAUGACACAGUAUAUUGAAUUAUGUGUCGUGUAUUGUAUAUAGGUGGUGAACCCUCUAACAAGGGUAAAGACAUUGUGUCAGAGGAUUGAGAAUAAGAGUAUUUCAAACUCCUGAUACAGUGAGUAACCUUAUCAUCAUCUUGAUUAUCUGAAGUGAAUUUUAAUUCGUUUUUGUGAUUUUAUGGAAAAUGAGUUUAAAUGGUAAAUCUUUAUGUUUUAUAAGCAAAAAUGUGAUUAAAUGAAAUGAUUUUAUAAAAUUGUCUUGAAAUUGAAUGAUGGUUUUGAGAAUGGAGCAAUUGGAGACUAAUUUCUGUGUUAUAAAUCAUGAUUUGAAUUGAAUGGCUUAUGAUAAUAUUGGCAUGAAUGAUUGAAUUGGUAAAUGUGCUGAAAAUGUAUGAACUGUUGAUUUGCCUUGAGAGGCUGUAAAAUAAAAUAAUUGCCAUAUCAUGCUACUGUAAAUUUUAUUGUAUGGUGGGUUUAACUUGCUGCAGUGGGCGGGUUUUGUGGACCAGCCUUUUUAAGGGGCACGAAAUCUGGUUAUAUUCUUACCUCGAUUGGGGAGGCGCGUAGGGUAGCUCCCGAAGUACAACCUUUAGAGUUCACUUCACACCAAACCACCACGUGAGGGUGAACUCAGCCAACGCCAAGGAACGCCUAUGUUUUCAAAAUAAAAACAUGAUUUAUGCGUACAUGACUUUUUAACAGCCUUGACGGACUUGGUUGAGAUAGCCCCAGGCCAAGGUAUCCCUGAUAACUGAGUAUGAGAAUGAUUUUGGCACGAGCCAAGCUUUUCAGGAAAUCAUAAGCCUCGUUGUUUAUUUUGGUGAAAUGAAUUUAUUUUAUCUUAUUAAAAUGAGUUCGAAAUGCUGUGAAUCAUUUUUAUGCUAAUCUAUUUUAUCUGUUUCCAUUUACUCGGCUUUAGAUAUUUUAGAUGGUAUUUGUUUAUUCACUGGGAUUAUAUAAUCUCAUCACCGUCCUUUUCACCCCUUUCAGGCUCAGUAUAGUCGGUAGAUAGCUCAUUUCGUUGAGGGCUAUAGUUGGACUUGCAUCCUCAAAAACUAUAGGUUUACCACUUUUGAUACUUUUGGUCGUUCGUGGGCCCACGUGUCACUGUAAAUUAAAUCUUAUGCUUUGGUUAUCUGUAUUACAGUAUGUAUGAAUUUAUUUAGCUUUUACGCUAUAAAAAUUAUUU